ACAACGCCCUGAACUCCACUUCUUGGCUUUCGGCAGGAAUCGUGCCAUCGUCCCCAACUGACCUCGGCUUCCACCUCCUUCUCAGUUCUUUGUCGACUUCUUGAAUCCAAUGGCUCCCAGAAUUGAGCAAGAAUUAUUUCCUCUAUGCGCACCAGCGAACCGUAUAAAAAGGGUUGUCCCCCAAUGGGUUACACCAGAAGCACCCGAUCCUCUGAAAUCAUCUCUUCGGAUCCAGUAGGAAGCCAGAUCUUACCCAACCAGCUUCAAGAUGUCUCUGCUGAAUGACGGUCUCUUGAUGGAGGACUUCUAUGACCCAGAAAUGGAAGGCCUGGACUCCUUCUAUCGGUAUCCGUACUGCUACCGACCCCAUCAGCGUAGCUGCUACUAUCCCAGGGGUUAUGGUUAUGGCUACGGCUACGGCUCCAGGUGGCGUCCUGGCUACGGUUGGCCACAGUAUCCGCAGUACUGCCCCCCACAGUAUUAUGGCCCCGGUCGCUGGCCAUGUUACUACCCCGGUAAGAGGUGGCCAUGUUAAGGCCAGAUGCAACAUUGAUGAUCCAGGAAAGGAGAGGCAGGAUUCUGACCCCUAGCUGAAUGAAAUGACACAGUAGUCUGAAUUGCUGAGCGCUCCAGAGGUCCUACUGUUCAGCCAGUGGGAUCUGUGAGGUCUCCGCACUUCUGUUAAUGCUUCACGCUUGGACUUUAUUCCUUUGGUUUCCCCUGUUUCCUGUCAUCUUGUAUCUCAGCUGUUGGUGCUAAGCUAGGACUCUCUACCAAAAUGUGUUUCAGCAGCGCUUGGCUGAAGGAGGCUCAUCACAUAAUAGCAAGGGGGAGGCCAACUCUGCUUUUUUUUGUUGCCUCAAUCCACGAUGACGUAUAUCAGCUUCCCAAGAAACAAGAUGUUUCAUUUCUCUGUGACAGCUGCAUGUUUUUCAUCUGCCAUGGGCCAUUUCCACCGGCUCCGUCCUUUAUAUCCUCAAUAAAAAUUUCAGCAUCUCAUAGAGCAAAA